AGAAGUGUACAACAUUUUUUCCUUUAUCACUUUAUGUGAAAAAGAAAAAAGAAAAAUGCCGCUAUCAAAACUUGUUGAAAUUUACCUCAAUAUGGCGAUUAAUAAACAUAGAAACAGUUUACAUAACCACACAGACGUAUUUAUGUUGGUAACACGUGUUUGUUAUCGAAGGAAUUUCCGUUCGUGGGCACAGGACGAGAAUACAUACGUGUCGAUGACCUGCCUGAUAACUGGAACCAACCUAACGGAAAAUACGAAAUGCGCUAUAUGAGAAAGGAAUUAAUUUAUAAUUUGACUAUAUCUACCGAGAAUGCGCAGACAACAAUCACUCUAAUGGAAAUGUCAACUAAGCACGGGCAUACUAUAAAAGUCAACACCGAUUUGUUGCAACAUUUAUAUGUUUUGGGAUCGUGUGGUCAACGAACUCAUCCGACCAACGAUAAAUUUGCCACCUGAUUCAGACGAGAGAUGUACAUUAGGGUGGAACAUUUUUUGAAUUUCGAGGCAUAUCUUGAUGGCCACUUGAGAAAACAUGUCUUAUAGUCCCCAGAUUCAAGAUAUGAAGGAAUUUUCAACUUGCGGUUCCAUAUAAGACAGCGACUUGAAAGGA